UACAGAGGGUGCAAGCGUUAUUCGGAAUUACUGGGCGUAAAGAGCGCGUAGGCGGUCUGAUAAGUCCGAUGUGAAAUCCCUGGACUCAAUCCAGGAAGUGCAUCGGAUACUGUCAGACUCGAGUGCAGGAGGGGAGAGCGGAAUUCCUGGUGUAGCGGUGAAAUGCGUAGAGAUCAGGAAGAACACCGGUGGCGAAAGCGCUCUGCUGGACCUUAACUGACACUGAGGGACGAAAGCUAGGGGAGCGAAUGGG
rnacentral:rRNA from 1 species